rnacentral:lncRNA from 1 species
GGCCCACUUUGACAGUUUUGCUUAAUAUUUUAUAUAAAAAUGUCAGUAUCCAAAUUUAAGCAUGCCUUUAUUCUAGUAAGAAACAACUGACAGUAGACAAAUUCCUAUAUCUAAAAUACUAAGAUUUAUAAGUUCCUGAUACUUGGAUUGAGAACAUCAUUGCAGUAUUUGUGUUUAAAUUCUGUUCAUCCACGUACUGUGCGAAUAAAUGAUUAAAAAGAAAAAUUUGAAUGAUAACUAUAACCAGUAGAUCUAGACGACGACAAAUCAAGAAGCCAAGGGACAUUAUGAUUAAUACAGUGACAAAGGUUUUAUUUUUGGAUUCGAAAAAGCUGGUAAAUUCAUAUAAUAGUUUCCAUAAAUACUCUGUUGUCUGUCUUUGACGAUUGCUGUCCACAGUUUAUCAAAGCCCUUGUUCCCGUGAUAGGCUGCAUACACAACUGCGUGUG